rnacentral:rRNA from 1 species
AAUCAACGCUGGCGGCGUGCCUAACACAUGCAAGUCGAACGAGAAAGUGGGGGCAACUCCAUGAGUAAAGUGGCAGACGGGUGAGUAACACGUGAACAACCUACCCUCGAGUGUGGAAUAACACCGCGAAAGCGGUGCUAAUACCGCAUAACAUCUUCGGGUCGCAUGAUCUGAAGAUCAAAAGCGCAAGUUGCUUGAGGAGGGGUUCGCGCCUGAUUAGCUAGUUGGUGAGGUAACGGCCCACCAAGGCAACGAUCAGUAGCCGGCCUGAGAGGGCGAACGGCCACACUGGAACUGAGACACGGUCCAGACUCCUACGGGAGGCAGCAGUGGGGAAUUUUGCGCAAUGGGCGAAAGCCUGACGCAGCAACGCCGCGUGGAGGAUGAAGGUCUUCGGAUCGUAAACUCCUGUCAGUGGGACGAAUGCUUCGCAAGAAGUUUGACUGUACCCGCUGAGGAAGCCACGGCUAACUCCGUGCCAGCAGCCGC